UACGGAGGGUGCGAGCGUUGUCCGGAAUCACUGGGCGUAAAGGGCGCGUAGGUGGCCCGGUCAGUCAGUGGUGAAAGCGCGGGGCUCAACUCCGCGUCGGCCAUUGAUACUGCUGGGCUUGAGCACUGUAGAGGCAGGCGGAAUUCCGGGUGUAGCGGUGGAAUGCGUAGAGAUCCGGAAGAACACCGGUGGCGAAGGCGGCCUGCUGGGCAGUAGCUGACACUGAGGCGCGACAGCGUGGGGAGCAAACAGG
rnacentral:rRNA from 1 species